rnacentral:rRNA from 1 species
UGCCCUACGGGAGGCAGCAGUGGGGGAUAUUGCACAAUGGGGGGAACCCUGAUGCAGCGACGCCGCGUGGGUGAAGAAGCGCCUCGGCGCGUAAAGCCCUGUCAGCAGGGAAGAAAAUGACGGUACCUGAAGAAGAAGCCCCGGCUAACUACGUGCCAGCAGCCGCGGUAAUACGUAGGUGGCGAGCGUUAUCCGGAAUGAUUGGGCGUAAAGGGUGCGCAGGCGGCGCGUUAAGUUUGAAGUAAAAGGUAGCGGCUCAACCGCUGCAAGCUUCGAAAACUGGUGUGCUGGAGUGCAGGAGAGGG